rnacentral:rRNA from 1 species
CCUACGGGAGGCAGCAGUGAGGAAUAUUGGACAAUGGGCGCAAGCCUGAUCCAGCCAUGCCGCGUGCAGGAAGACGCAUCUAUGGUGUGUAAACUGCUUUUGUACGGGAAGAAACACUCCCUCGUGAGGGAGCUUGACGGUACCGUAAGAAUAAGGAUCGGCUAACUCCGUGCCAGCAGCCGCGGUAAUACGGAGGAUCCAAGCGUUAUCCGGAAUCAUUGGGUUUAAAGGGUCCGUAGGCGGUUUAAUAAGUCAGUGGUGAAAGCCCAUCGCUCAACGAUGGAACGGCCAUUGAUACUGUUAGACUUGAAUUACUAGGAAGUAACUAGAAUAUGUAGUGUAGCGGUGAAAUGCUUAGAUAUUACAUGGAAUACCAAUUGCGAAGGCAGGUUACUACUAGUGGAUUGACGCUGAUGGACGAAAGCGUGGGGAGCGAACGGGGAUUAGAUACCCUGGUAGUCCACGCCGUAAACGAUGGAUACUAGCUGUUGGGCGCAAGUUCAGUGGCUAAGCGAAAGUGAUAAGUAUCCCACCGNGGAGGUACGUCGUGAGAAGUUAGAAGUAAAGUUAAGUUAGAGNGNGNGACGCGACGACGACGACGACGGAGGAGG